rnacentral:rRNA from 1 species
UCGAAAGGCAGGAGUGCCCGCAAGGAAGCGCGGAGACAAGUGGUGCAUGGCUGUCGUCAGCUCGUGUCGUGAGAUGUUGGGUUAAGUCCCGCAACGAGCGCAACCCUCACCCCUUGUUGCCAUCAGGUGAUGCUGAACACUCUAGGGGAACUGCCCCAGUCAACGGGGAGGAAGGCGGAGACGUCGUCAAGUCAUCAUGCCCCUUACGUCCUGGGCUACACACGUGCUACAAUGGCCGGUACAGAGGGAUACUAGACCGCGAGGUGGAGCUAAACCCAAAAAGCCGAUCUAAGUUCAGAUUAGAGUCUGCAACUCGACUCCAUGAAGGAGGAAUCGCUAGUAAUCGCGUAUCAGCACGACGCGGUGAAUACGUUCCCAGGCCUUGUACACACCGCCCGUCACACCACGAAAGCCAGCUGUACUCGAAGUCGCUGAG